CGGGUAGAAAUGGAAGUUACUCGUGCUACAUUGUUAUCGAAAUAUUACAUGUAUCUAGACGUUUUUAAGAAUAGAUACAUUUAUAUUUGGACAAAUUUAAAUCAAGAAUUUAUCAGAUUACCUAACCUCGAUCGAAAACUCGAAAUAGGCUUCCCGUCUUGGUGAGUUAUCUGUUUAACACGUACUGUACUAAUUUUGUUUGAAGUUAUCUUUUUAACUUUGACUAAAUUCACGAAAUACAUUUUUUAUAACUCUCAUUUGAUCUUAUAAAUAUUAGAAUCAAUAAACUUGGAACAAAACAAAUACGCAAUCGAAAUGGAGGGAGUAAAGUUUUUAAAAAAAAAUCAAAGAUCGCGAUUUGACUCAGACUCGCUAAUAAAAAGAAUAACAAGUUGGACACAUUUUUCAAUUCGUUAUAUAUUUUAUUAGCUUAGUUAUCUCUGCUCUUGUUAAGGGUUGUUAUUCAUAACUCAUAAGUUAGAACAAAUUAUGUUUGCUAUAGAUAAAUUAGACUAUGAAAAAUCAUUAUCACUAUGUACAUAAUAUAAUAUUAGUGGAUGUGAUUGUAAUUUUAUCACAAGUUUGAUGGCAAACAACAUUGCCAUUGCAUCAAAAGGGAGCAAGGAGUUUAUUUUUUCUAAGAUAAGAACGUGACGGAUUACUGCCGUCAAUAGAGUCUUUUAUAUAGUAAAGAUAAAGAUUAAGUCUAGCUUUUCAUGGACUAUGAAUUUAGUUGGUGUUCAUUAAAUUUCUAAUCAUGCAUAUGAUUUUCUCAGGAUAAUUUAAUUAUGCAUCUAAAAUUUAUACAUAAUCAUUAUUUAUUGUGUUGACACUGAUUUGAUUCAGAACCCCAUGUUACCUUGUAAGAAUAGUGUUUAUUAAUGACCGUCCUGCUCACCACUCACAAGCAGCUCGAGCUAAGUAAUUAGCUAGCCGAUAUUAGGAUUUUAGAGUGAGUAAAAAAAUAACAAUUCUUGCACUUGUCUGGUCGACUUAUUUUCAAUUUUUUAUUCCUGUUCUACACAGAAAUACUGGAAAAAAGUAGGGUUUUCAAAUUCGGUUUCACUGAAAACGUGGAAAGCCGUCAGAGGUAAACUAGUUCAUUUUCCUUCUAAGGUCUAAUCAUCCAGGCAAAAAUUGCACUAGAAAAAAACUCACGAUUUCAAGUUUUUCAACUGAAACCGUUCUGAACACCCCUAGGAAAACUCUCUUACCCGCAAAAAAAAGACUCUCUAAAUUUGUUUAAGUGAAUCACCAUGAUCAAAAUUAAAGUCCAGCUAGCUCGAAAAGCACUCCUCCGAUCAAUAAAAAAUACUAUCAUCCACUUGGUACAAAAUUUGUACUAAUUUAGUACAAAAUUAAUACAAAAUGGACGAUAUUUUUUUAUAAAUUGGAGGGAGUAAUAAUUAUGGACUUAGGACAUUGCUAACUUCUCUUAGCAGCCCCUGAAAGUGCACCCAUCAUCCUUUACAGGAUCCCGGGAUCUCAUACAGAAUAUCCAUCCACAUGGCUCCUGCAUACGCCAUUCAAAGUGCAGCACGUCAAAAAGCCAUUCUUUGGUUGCUCCCUCCCUCAGCUUUCUGCACCAAAAAUACCAGUCAGAUCUUUGAUUUCCGGUCUUAACACAUCAUAACAAUAAUAAUAAUAAGCUGUCAAGACACGCGAGUGGCUGCGUUUGGUGUUUGAAGUUAGCUAGCAUUGGUUUCAGCUUUCAUUAAUUAGUGAUUUUGAUGUGGCAAAUAACCGAAAGCCGGCUAGCCUCCUUGCACUUUCCAGGCACCAACCGUGACAUAUUUGAUCAGCUUUUCUUUGGUUGGUUACCUGAAUCUUGUGAUGGAAGAAGUGGUGUGUGCAUGGGAUGUUGUGAUGUCCCUUCCCUUUUAAGGAAUCUUGAAGGAUAUUCCGGGGAAGAAGAGAGGGAUCAAGUGUCGAUGGUGAAAGGAGAGGGGAUAAUUUGGAGGAUAUACCUCCUCUUUGAUCCAUGCAUUGGAGAGCACGGGUUCGGACAACCACGCUUUUAUCUAACUUUUGAGUUUUAGGAUCUGUCUGUCUUAGCUAGUUUACUCGGACUAUGGUAUCAGGCCAAGGUUAAAAAGCUAGCAUGUCUCGACUUUUCGAACAUUAUCCGACCAAUCCCGACAAAAGAGAGUCCGGAUGUCCACGGCAUCAAUCUAGGUUUUGCGCGAGCCUUUCUGUUUUCUCACUCGUUUAUAUAUGCAUUAGUUUCACACUUUUAUUUCGUUUCGAGAGUAUAUAUCAAUUCAAUUCAGCUCUGUUUUGAAAAAAGAACUUGUAGAAGAGACACGAUUGCCACCCAACAAUAUAUGUAUAAUUUUGGUAGAGACACAUCGCUACAUCUAGGGAUCGAACUCUGAUGGCCAGGAAGUAUACCUCGCCAGGCCAUGCGUCAUAUUUUAUAAGGCGAAAACCCACUUAAUAUGGGGUGGAGGGAGUCUAUAUAUUUUUCAUCAGGUAGAGGCAUCACUACCUCAAGGGAUCUAACUCCGAUGCCAAAAAACAUGCCUCGCUAGGCUACGUGUCAUAUUUUGUAGGGCGGAAACCCACUUAAGGGAGGCUCAUGGGACACGCUUUGUGACUAAACAUGUUUAGUUCCGAACACCAUGCAAAUUUGUUCUUUAGCAUUUUCUUUGGAAGGGUUAAUUAAUGUCCAUUAGCAGCUCUAGUGGGUGGAGUAGGCAGGUGCAUGCCUAGCUAGGCGGUGAUAGUUCAGUGCUCCAUUUGGAAAAUAUGAAACGCAUUUUCUUCUUCUCUUCUUAUGUCUUUAUGUUUUAGAAGUGACCGGCUUAGUGCUAAAACAGACUGUAAAGGUGUGUAGUUUGCCUGUGCAUGCAUACAACAAAAACCAUUGUGUCUGAAAACCCUCCAUUGCAAAUUCACAAGGCUUCAGGGCCAAGAACAGAAUGAACCAGAAGUUCAGAUGUGAUUUUAUGAUCAAGAUCAUGUAGAGCUUCUAACAGUUGACAGAUCUUCCACUAUCCAAUCCUUGCACUGUAGCAAUGGGAGGACUGUGCUGCUGUUCACGGUGCACCUGCUAGUUAUUAGUUCCAUCUCCUUUUCCCCUACCAAAUUCAACGGCACAAGAAGUUUGCUUCAGCGUGCAGUGCAGCCAGUGGUGUACCUGCGCAACCCCACUAGAUCUUGGAGCCACAAGGCAGUCAAAAACUAAUGGAACCUAGCUAUAAGUACAAGAGCAUUUAGGUCAGGGAAUGUGUCUCUUCUUCUUUCUCUAUCCUCACAGAUCUUGUGACUUGGGUUCGCUAGAAUUGGAUUUUGCUUCGGUGCACCGACCAGACAAUGUUUUGUAAAUGUGAUGGCAAAGAAAUGGACUUGGUGAGAACUGAGAAAGAUAAUUCAGAAACGUCGACGAGUGAUGCCAGUGUUUGUGCUGUAUGAUUUUUGGUGAGUGCAAUUCGUUUUGCAGCAAAGUUCAUUUUGCAGUACAAUUGAUAAUUGAGCUCUGUAAAAUAAAGGUCUAAGAGUCUUUAUGCGUCAAGCUUUACAGUAGAGCUGUUCUACGGUACCUCAAAAUUAAUUUGGACCGUUCAUUUCCUUUGAUCCAAGGGUGCAGAUUAGUUCACAUUCCUUAUUACUCCAAUUUAGAUGUAUGGAGUAUCAACUCAAAGAAGAGGAGAGUAGUAGAAAGGUAAGGAUAAAAACGUAAGAAUAAACAUCAUGAGCGGUUUCUUCCUUUCCCCUUCGCCGGAGUAGUCAGAGGAAGGCGGCAGGCGUGCGCUGGGAUGUCGGCGGCGCGCGCAGAGCGGACCGCGGCGGCAGCGUGGUGCAGAGCGGAUCACGGCGGCGGGGCGCGCUGGGCAGACCGCGGCGGUGCUGCGGGGCAGGGCGGAUGCGACGGCGGCAGCGCGCCGGGGCGGUGGCGGCGCAGCACUUGGAAUGCGGCGACGGCAGCCCGCUGGGGCGGUGGCGGAGCAUGGUCUGGAGGGCGGCAGCGGCUGCGCGCUGGAGGGACAUCGGCUCGCUGGGGCCUGGGGCGGUGGAGGCGGCCUGGGAUCGGAGAAACGGGGAGAGAGACGAGAGAUCUGCUGCUUUUUUAUUUUAUUUUAUUUUUAUUACUACUAAUACGAAAAGUAAAAAAUGCACUCGCCUAAUACUCCCUGGAGUAUUAGGGAGUGAUGGGCACCGUAGAAUCUGCCUUAUAGUAAAAGUACAGGUUAUUCUUGCAGCAUAUGCCUUGCCAUGCUUUUGUACACAUGAACUUUCCAUGGAGUUCAAGCUUUCAUAAUUCUCAUUGAAAGAAGUUAUUUUUCAA